UACGUAGGGUGCAAGCGUUAAUCGGAAUUACUGGGUGUAAAGGGUUCGUAGGCGGUGCGGCAAGUUGGGAGUGAAAUCUCUGGGCUUAACCCAGAGGCUGCUUCCAAAAACUGCUGUGCUUGAGUGUGGGAGAGGCGCGUGGAAUUGCAGGUGUAGCGGUGAAAUGCGUAGAUAUCUGCAGGAACACCCGUGGCGAAAGCGGCGCGCUGGACCACUACUGACGCUGAGGAACGAAAGCUAGGGGAGCAAACAGG
rnacentral:rRNA from 1 species